AUAAAAUGGAGUUUAACGUAAUUAAAUAGACCAAUGUUUUUUAACAUUGGAAAAUAGUUCAUUAUAAACAACAGUUAAAUGUUUUUUGUUAUUAAUUGCAACCAGAUUUGAUUUUAUGAGGUUAAAUAAAGCAUUUCAGUUCUGGGCCAAGGCCAAGGCAUUUAAAUUUAUUUUUUUUAAGUUGCAUGGAAGAUUAUAAGCAGCAGUGAUUGUCACACACUAGGUGUAGUGAAAUUAUUCUCUGCAUUUGACUCAUCACCCUUGAUCACUAUGCUAGUAAACCUUUUCUUAAUUUUAAACAAGACAGUCUAGAGUAAUUCAAAUUGUUUAUACUUUUUCUCAAAUACAAAUAUUUCAAGCUGAUAAGCACUGUGGAGUUGGCAUGUUACUGAUAUUGUUACAUUAGUUCUUUGUUUGAGAAGCUUCAUGUCUGCACUGAGCCUAAAUUUAACAGUUUUUGAAGGGUUUAGUUCUUUGUUUUAUUUCUGUGUCACUGACUUUUUUCAUUUUUAUGUGUGGAUUUGUUAGGCGCAUCAACACAUGAUAUAGACAUCGUGCCCAAAAGAAGAGCGAGACGUAAUCCUGAGGCUGAAGCCACCGAGUUUAUUUGAUCUGGAUGUGACAAGUCUUGUUUUAAGGCCCAGUGGAUCAAUGAUUGGAAAGACACCAACUGUUGAUGUUCUAUCUCAACAUUCUCCAGAUUCAUGUGACCGAUAAACCGACUUCAUCCCUCCAACAGACACCAACUGUUGGGGUUCUAUCUCAACAUUCUCCAGAUUCAGAUGUGAGCGAUAAACCGACUUCAUCCCUCCAACAGACACCAACUGUUGGGGUUCUAUCUCAACAUUCUCCAGAUUCAGAUGUGAGCGAUAAACCGACUUCCUCCCUCCAACAGAAACCAACUGUUGAGGUUCCAUCUCAACAUUCUCCAGAUUCAGAUGUGAGCCAUUAACUGACUUCAUCCCUCCAACAGAAACCAACUGUUGAGGUUCUAUCUCAACAUUCUCUAGAUUCAGAUGACAGCCAUAAACCGACUUCAUCCCUCCAACAGAUUGACAGCAGGACAAAUCGCUGGAAGUAGGUAUGUCUCAAGCUUCUUCCACUUGGUCCACUCCAAAGCGGGCUGCAAAGGGGAAGAAGUGGAAGCAGUUGAAUGACACAUGUUGCAUUUUGUAACUGGCAACAAAGUACCAGGUAAAAAAGAUUGUGAAGCCUGCCUCCAUAAAGAACUAGUAGCUCUACAGGACAGAGAUUGGCUUGCCAUCAAGUACUACAUCCAUAACAGAAUUAUAUUAAAAAAAGGGGAAAAAAAUGUUUUCCCACAUCUUCUGUGGUAGUUUGAGUAUGUUACCAGCAAUUAAAAAAGCAAAAUAAA